rnacentral:sRNA from 1 species
GUCUUACUGGUAGAUACUUGAAUAAACUUUCUCCGUGGAUUUAGUGCCACGACAAAGAGGCUAAUAGGUUGAUGGACUUAGUGCCACGACAAAGAGGCUAAUAGGUUGAUGGAUUUAGUGCCACGACAAAGAGGCUAAUAGGUUGAUGGACUUAGUGCCACGACAAAGAGGCUAAUAGGUUGAUGGACUUAGUGCCACGACAAAGAGGCUAAUAGGUUGAUGGACUUAGUGCCACGACAAAGAGGCUAAUAGGUUGAUGGACUUAGUGCCACGACAAAGAGGCUAAUAGGUUGAUGGAUUUAGUGCCACGACAAAGAGGCUAAUAGGUUGAUGGACUCAGUGCCACGACAAAGAGGCUAAAAGGUUAAUGGACUUAGUGCCACGACAAAGAGGCUAAUAGGUUGAUGGACUUAGUGCCACGACAAAGAGGCUAAUAGGUUGAUGGACUUAGUGCCACGACAAAGAGGCUAAUAGGUUGAUGGACUUAGUGCCACGACAAAGAGGCUAAUAGGUUGAUGGACUUAGUGCCACGACAAAGAGGCUAAUAGGUUGAUGGACUUAGUGCCACGACAAAGAGGCUAAUAUGUUGAUGGAUUUGGUGCCACCUACAGCCACGACCUAUCACUAACAGCCCACGUUGGUUACUAAGUGACUGUAUCUUGCAGCUGACUACACUACGCCCCAGUGACAUAUAUCUACAUGAGAACGUAUCCUUUGACCACUUCCUUAUAUGGUCAAUGUCGCCUCAUAUCAAAUUAUACUUCAUACUAGAUUUCAGAAACUAAUUUAAA